UUCUUUGUGUGCUGUCUUUCAUCUGACAGAAUGUUGUCAUCUUUACUGGUACUGUUUUAUGCAGAGUUAAAAAGUAAAACAGAAACUCAGUCUUUCUAUUGAAACUUUAUACUAGAUUAGGGUUUCUAGGAGAGAAAUGACAUCUGCUUGGGACAUCACUGAAAUUUUAGUUACAGUGUUUACGUUAACCUUGCAGAUCAUUCAAGUGUGUGAAAUUUGGUUUCACUGCAAUUCAGUGUGAUUUAAACAAUGGAAGAAAUGUGGAUGACAGCAAAAUAGAAACGACGUUGAUUUGGAUGGAAUAAUUUUUCUUAAAAAUAUAUUCCAUAUCAGUAAAUAGUAAUUAGGUGCUAGUUUAUAUUAGACCAAGUGAUUUAUACUUUAAAUAUAUAGAAAAAUGAUCAGUUUCAAAAACCUAUUAAAUUUAUCUAUGUAAAAUUGUUACAUCCUAGUCAUUCUUUCCAGUCUUAAGAUUCGAAUUUCAAAAACCUAUUUUUGUUUUCAACAUCUAACUUCAGAAGAGGGGCUGGGAACUAAAGUAACACUUUUUUCCUAUAUGUAUGUAUGUGUGUAUAUAUAUGUAUUUUUUUAAUUGAAGUAUAGUCAGUUUACAGUGUUGUGUCAGUUUCUGGUGUACAGCAUAGUGCUUCAGUCAUACAUGAACAUACAUGUAUUCAUUUUCACCAUAAGUUACUACAAGAUAUUGAAUAUAGUUCCUUGCUCUGUACAGCAUGAACUUGUUGUUUAUCUAGUCUAUAUAUAUCUAUUAGUAUCUGCAAAUCUGUAACUCCUAGUCUAACUCCUAGUUUAUCCUUUCUCACCUCCUUCCCCUCUGGUAACCAUAAGUUGUUUUCUAUGUCGUCUUUGAGUCUUGUCUGUUUUGUAAAUAAGUUCAUUUGUCUAUUUUUUUUAGAUUCCACGUAAGUGGUAUCAUAUGGUAUUUUUCUUUCUGGCUUACUUCACUUAGAAUGACAAUCUCCAGGUCCAUCCAUGUUGCUGCAGAUGACAUUAUUUUAUUCUUUUCUAUGGCUGAAUAGUAUUCCAUUGUAUAAAUAUACCCCAGCUUCUUUAUUCAGGCAUCUGUCGAUGGACAUUUAGGUUGCUUCCAUGUCUUGGCUAUUGUAAACAGUGCUGCUGCUAUGAACAUUGGAGUUGCAUGUAUCUUUUUGAACUAAGGUUCCCUCUGGAUAUAUGCCCAGGAGUGGGAAUCCUGGAUCAUAUGCCUGACAACAACCCUGUGAUGUCGACAAGGGGAGUGUUACUGCGAGCUGAGUCAUGGAAUGACGUUUCCACAGGUUCUACCAUCGCACGUAAACUGAGGCGUGUGUUCUCACUCGAGCAGCCCAUACCAUUCGAUCCGGAUCUCCCUAAGGUGAGCAGCCUUGAUGCCUGAGAAAGCAGGAAAAGAGGCACAUUUUGAAACACAGGUCUGUGGAGUAGUGAGUAGGAGAUUUCUGGGGAAUUUCUUGUCCAGUUUAGUAUUCUUAUGCUCCUUUGAAAUGUUUGUAAUAUGCUCUGUAGAGAAGUCUGUUUCAAGUAAUCCUUACAGAGUAGGGCACUGGCUAGUUUAUCUGAGACUUACAGACACAAUAAUAUAGUAAGCAUCUAGAAUUUAUGACUGACAUGUAAAAUCAAACUACUUACUUGAAAUCUAGAUGUUCAAUUAGCACGUACCCAUCUGUGGAAACAAAAAUUACUGUUACUAAAAGUUAUAAUGCUUUGCUUUUUUUUUUUAAACAGUGAUUGAAAUCUCAUAGUUAUUAACCCAAUAACUUACAUUUGCCUUUAGAAUUGCGACAAAUCACGAGAUUUUCUUCCGUGGUAUCAAUGACUUCCAGUUCUUCUCCUGGGGUUACUGGCAAGUCGAAUAUUCCAUUUCUUGAAUUAUUGGAACAUGCCACUGCUGUGUUGAUGACAGUAAUCUCUUUCUCAUACUGAAAGGAGAAAUUACUAAUCAGAAUAUUUGUAUUCUUUUUCAUUAUUAAUGGAGGGCAUAAUACUGUAACCUCAAAAUAUUAACAUCUAAGGGAACAGAAAAUAAGAGCAAGAUACUCAGUGAAAGGGACAGGAGCUAGUCAGACGGAGAGCAGCAGCAAGGGGCCACCAGGCAGCUGGAACAGACCAGGCAAACGCCCGGAAGCAGCAGGACGACAAGAGGUGGACAGUCCUUCAAGAAACACAACUAUGAACAAUUUGUAGCCACAGCACAGCAUGGAAGGUGAAGAAUGGCAGGAGAUAAAACUAGGAAGACAAGCAAAGGCUGUGACAUGAAGAACUUGAUAUCUAGUGUUAAGAAGCCUAACCUUUAUCCAUUUGGCAAUGGGGAGCUUUUGCAAGAUUUUAGGCAGAGUAAUGACAUGCACAGAUGUGAUGAGCACACGUUCUCUCCAUCCAGUGUCUGGUAUGUAUGCUGCUUAAUAAACUCGCACUGUGCCAGUAUAUGAAAUCAAACCUUGGAAUUAAUGACAGAAGUUCAGUCAUUCAGUGUGUCUACUGUCAUGCUGGGAGCUGGAGGGCAGACUUGAACAAGAGUCUCUUUUGAACGAGCUUUCUAAAUCAAGAUUUUAGUUCCAAAUACAUGCACUCAGAUAGACACAGUAACAUGACUGCUCGGUGUUAUGAGGGAUACUGUACACCAGACGUAUAAAAGGUGCUGAGGGAGUACCUUUGCCUGGAGGAGUUAGGGAAGAGUGGGUGACGUCUGACUGGAGCCUUAAAGAACAACUUAGUGGUCUUUCCAGGCAGAGGGAAUAGCAUGUACAAAGCCAUGAUAAUACAGAAAUGUAUCAGGGAAAAUUAACAUGUCAGCUAGUCAGUCAAAGAUCAUGUCUGCCCCAGAGAGGCAACACACUUGGAGAAUCUUUAAAACUAGAAAUCCUUCUUAUUAUUAAUUUUGACCUUCAGAGGAGAACAUACCUUAAAUCUUUCUCUAAAAAGUUUUUCUUCUCUUUCCAAUCUGUUCUUUUCAAAGUUUUGCUUCUUGAAUUUGAAGAAAUUCUUAGAUGAGCUGGUAAGAAAUAAUGCAGGUAGGGUUAAGUGUACUAUAAUAAAAGUUUAAGCUUCCAAAGCUAUAAACUCAUUCCAUUUCAGGUUUAAUUUUGUGUGUAUCUGUGUACAGUUUUAUAUACAAUCCUAUAUAUAUGUAAUCCUAUAUAUGUAUGUAUGUACAUACAUAUGUACACUAGAGCAGAUUGUUGAAACAACUGAACAGGGUAAGUAAUGCCGAUUGCUUUUCCCUACAAUUAAAAAAAAGCUUUUUUAAUAGCAGGAUAAAGCCAAAUUGGUUAAACAGUUUAUGUUAAACAAGACAAUUCUCUGAAUCAGACUUAGAAGCAUAAUUAACUUGUAAGUCUUCCCAGUCACCCUCGGAGUAUUUAAUGGAAAACAGUAAGAGUAAGUGGCGUGCAUUUUGUGGUUUUCCAAGCUUUCAGACCUAACUGGGGACUCAAAUCUGUGUGCCUCAAAGAGCUGUCCUGUCUGCUGAAUGCUUUCAGAGAAGGACAGAACUAAGAAGAGUAAGCGAGAUGCCACAAAGUGUGUGCGAAACUUUCGGCACCUAGAAGUCGACAACCCCACGGCAGAGGCUGGUUCGACUCUUCCUCUUUCUUUUCCUCCGUCCUGCUCUUCACACAGGGGUUGCUGCUGCUUUUCUGCAGGUGAAUGCAGUAACAGGAGGAAAAAAGUCACGCAAGUCCUGUCUGUCUUAUUCAGAAGAGUCUCCUACGUCUGCCUCUCCGUCCUCAAGUCCAUCUGCAUACCUGCCUCCAGAGCCGUAUUUCUAUAAUUUACUUGAUCAUGUCACUGUCUUGCUUAAAACCUUUCAAUCUGCCCUUACUGCCUAGAAGAGAAAGUCAGAUUCUUUCGCAUGGUACACAGGGCAGGUUACAGUCUGCCCCCGAUCUACCUUUGCAGCUGUCCUUUCCACGUGCAGCCGUCCAGAUCGGCUGUCAUUUCCGUGACUUUGUACCUGGGAUGCCCUCCCCUGAACACCUCUGAAAACUUACCAUCUUGGAUUAAUAAGGGAAUAAUAAAAGAGUUGAACUAA